UCUAAAGGGUAGCAGGACAUCAUCAAACACAAGUAUAAGCCUUCUGAUGUCAAUGGCCUUCCAGUUUUCAAUGUUGUAUUAUCACAGCCAUGGAAAGGCAUAUACUCUAUUAUUAACUCUGAUUCGGCAACUUCAACUGUCUUAAAGAAUGAGUGCUAUUUCAAGGUUGGUAAUGGGAAACCAUUAAAUUCUGAAGAAUAAAUAGCUACAAGCAGGGACUUUAUGAAGUAUCAGCAUCCAAAACAGCGUCACUGCUGGGAAUGAGGAUCUUCAAGUUAGAUUCUUAGCACUGGAACUUUAGAUGGAAUCAGAGAUUAAGAUCCUCAGAUCAGACACAACUUCGGCAGCUUGUUCUCCUAUUAGAUGGGGUCAGCUUGAAUACACACAGAAAGUAUUUGAGGGAAUUUUCUCGUACAUGGGCGAUUGCUUAAUCUCAGUCAAACAGCUUGCCCUCACUGCAAUAUUGGCAUAAAGAAUGUGAAUCACCUUUUUCUUCAUUGCUACGCAUUUUGGCGUCUUUGGCAGCGUUUCAUGAACUGGUUGGGCAUUAGUUGAUGCAUUCCAAAGUCUAUCGAUCAAUCAAGUUGUUUUGCAAUGGAGCGUUCUAGUAAAAGGCCACUUCCAACGACGAGCACUUACAAAGUCUUCUUGUGGGAUUUUGUGGAACACUUGGAGUGUAAGAAACAAACUGAUUUUUUAAGACAUCAUGCCAGUUUGGAAUACAAUGUUUGAACAUAUUCUUCAUCGUUUGUCUCUCUGGUUGUUAAAGGCCAUGGAUGGAAAUUUUUCAUAUAUUGGGAAUCAUCUAUUUAGAAGCUCAGACGGUAUUUUAUUAUUGGAGCUUUUUUUCUAGAAUAAAA